rnacentral:rRNA from 1 species
UACGUAGGGUGCGAGCGUUUAAUCGGAAUUACUGGGCGUAAAGCGUGCGCAGGCGGUUUUGUAAGCCAGAUGUGAAAUCCCCGGGCUUAACCUGGGAAUGGCAUUUGGGACUGCAAGGCUUGAGUGCGGCAGAGGAGACUGGAAUUCCUGGUGUAGCAGUGAAAUGCGUAGAGAUCGGGAGGAACAUCAGUGGCUGAAGGCGGCCAUCUGGGACAACACUGACGCUGAGGCACGAAAGCGUGGGAGCAACAGG